UACGUAGGGUGCGAGCGUUGUCCGGAAUUAUUGGGCGUAAAGAGCUUGUAGGCGGUUUGUCGCGUCUGCUGUGAAAAUCUGGGGCUUAACUCCGGACGUGCAGUGGGUACGGGCAGGCUAGAGUGUGGUAGGGGAGACUGGAAUUCCUGGUGUAGCGGUGAAAUGCGCAGAUAUCAGGAGGAACACCGAUGGCGAAGGCAGGUCUCUGGGCCAUAACUGACGCUGAGAAGCGAAAGCAUGGGUAGCGAAC
rnacentral:rRNA from 1 species